rnacentral:rRNA from 1 species
UACGUAGGGGGCUAGCGUUGUCCGGAUUUAUUGGGCGUAAAGAGCGUGUAGGCGGCCAGGUAGGUCUGGUGUGAAAACUCGAGGCUUAACCUCGAGAUGUCAUCGGAAACCAUCUGGCUAGAGUCCGGAAGAGGAGAGUGGAAUUCCUAGUGUAGAGGUGAAAUUCGUAGAUAUUAGGAAGAACACCAGUGGCGAAGGCGGCUCACUGGUCCGGUACGUGACGCUGAGUGCGGAAAG